UGGGGAAUUUUGCACAAUGGGGGAAACCCUGAUGCAGCGACGCCGCGUGAUUUAGAAGGCCUUCGGGUUGUAAAAAUCUUUUCUAUGGGAAGAAAAUGACAGUACCAUAGGAAUAAGGACCGGCUAAUUACGUGCCAGCAGCCGCGGUAAUACGUAAGGUCCGAGCGUUGUCCGGAAUCAUUGGGCGUAAAGGGUACGUAGGCGGGUAAGCAAGUUAGAAGUGAAAUCCUAUAGCUCAACUAUAGUAAGCUUUUAAAACUGCUCAUCUAGAGGUAUGGAAGGGAAAGUGGAAUUCCUAGUGGAGCGGUGAAAUGCGCAGAUAUUAGGAGGAAUACCGGUGGCGAAGGCGACUUUCUGGCCAUAACCUGACGCUGAGGUACGAAAGCGUGGGUAGCAAACAGG
rnacentral:rRNA from 1 species